rnacentral:rRNA from 1 species
GUUGAACGCUGGCGGCGGGCCUAAUACAUGCAAGUCGAGCGAACGGAGGAAAAGUUUGCCUUGCUGAUGUUAGCGGCGGACGGGUGAGUAACAGGUGGAUAACCUACCUAUAAGACUGGGAUAAGUUCGGGAAACCGGAUCUAAUACCGGUUCAUAUUUUGAACGGCAUGGUUCAUCAGAGAAAGACGGUCUUGCUGUCACUAAUAGAUGGAUCCGCGCUGCAUUAGCUAGUUGGUAAGGUAACGGCUUACCAAGGCAACGAUGCAUAGCCGACCUGAGAGGGUGAUCGGCCACACUGGAACUGAGACACGGUCCAGACUCCUACGGGAGGCAGCAGUAGGGAAUCUUCCGCAAUGGGCGAAAGCCUGACGGAGCAACGCCGCGUGAGUGAUGAAGGUCUUCGGAUCGUAAAACUCUGUUAGUAGGGAAGAACAUAUGUGUAAGUAACUGUGCCCAUCUUGACGGUACCUACUCAGAAAGCCACGGCUAACUACGUG